rnacentral:rRNA from 1 species
GAUGAACGCUAGCGGCAGGCCUAAUACAUGCAAGUCGAACGGUGUCUUCGGACAUAGUGGCGCACGGGUGCGUAACACGUAUGCAACCUACCUUACAUUGGGGGAUAGCCUUUCGAAGGGGAGAUUAAUACCGCAUAAGACAGUAGCUGGGCAUCCAGCAGCUGUUAAAGAUUUAUCGAUGUAAGCUGGGCAUGCGUCCAAUUAGCUGGUUGGUGAGGUAACGGCUCACCAAGGCAAUGAUUGGUAGGGGAACUGAGAGGUCAAUCCCCCACACUGGCACUGAGAUACGGGCCAGACUCCUACGGGAGGCAGCAGUAGGGAAUAUUGGGCAAUGGACGCAAGUCUGACCCAGCCAUGCCGCGUGCAGGAUGAAGGCGUUAUGCGUUGUAAACUGCUUUUAUACAGGAAGAAACGACUCUUGCGAGAGGCAUUGACGGUACUGUAUGAAUAAGCACCGGCUAACUCCGUGCCAGCAGCCGCCGUAAAAC